GGAUGUAAGGGGGAUCUGGCUGUGACAUCUGUCACCCCACUGAUCGCCAGGGUUGAUUCGGCUGAUCUGGCUGGCUAGGCGGGCGUCCCCUUCCUCCCUCACCACUCGAGGUGCGUCCCUCCCAAAGCUGCACGCUCGGUCAAAGAGGACGACCUUCCCCGAGAGAGGAGGACCAUUCUUUGGUCCAGGGUAUACGAGUAGCUGUGCUCCCUGCUAGAACCUGCAAACAAGCUCUCAAGGUCCCACAGUAGAUGGUGAGGGCAGGGACCAUGAUGAUGAUGAU
ensembl:misc_RNA 7SK 7SK RNA